GCGAGCUUAGCUCAGUCGGGAGAGCGUCAGACUGAAGAUCUGAAGGUCCCGAGUUCAAUCCUCGGAGAUCGCA
rfam:Brettanomyces bruxellensis AWRI1499 AWRI1499_contig2953_scaffold63, whole genome shotgun sequence.